GCUGGGAUGGCGAAAUGGUAGACGCGCCUGCCUUAGGAGCAGGUUCCUUCGGGAGUGGAGGUUCAAGUCCUCUUCCCAGCA
rnacentral:tRNA from 1 species